rnacentral:rRNA from 1 species
UACAGAGGGUGCGAGCGUUGUCCGGAAUCACUGGGCGUAAAGCGCGCGCAGGCGGUCCUUUAAGUCUGAUGUGAAAGCCCACGGCUCAACCGUGGAGGGUCAUUGGAAACUGGGGGACUUGAGUGCAGAAGAGGAAAGCGGAAUUCCACGUGUAGCGGUGAAAUGCGUAGAGAUGUGGAGGAACACCAGUGGCGAAGGCGGCUUUCUGGUCUGUAACUGACGCUGAGGCGCGAAAGCGUGGGGAGCAAACAGG